UACGGGGGGGGCAAGCGUUGUUCGGAAUUACUGGGCGUAAAGGGCUCGUGGGCGGCCAACUAAGUCAGACGUGAAAUCCCCAGGCUCAACCUGGGAACUGCGUCUGAUACUGGAUGGCUUGAAUCCGGGAGAGGGAUGCAGAAUUCCAGGUGUAGCGGUGAAAUGCGUAGAUAUCUGGAGGAAUACCGGUGGCGAAGGCGGCAUCCUGGACCGGCAUUGACGCUGAGGAGCGAAAGCCAGGGGAGCAAACGGG
rnacentral:rRNA from 1 species